UACGUAGGGUGCGAGCGUUGUCCGGAAUCAUUGGGCGUAAAGCGCGCGUAGGCGGCCCGGUAAGUCCGCUGUGAAAGUCAAAGGCUCAACCUUUGAAUGUCAGCGGAUACUGCCGGGCUAGAGUCCGGAAGAGGCGAGUGGAACUCCUGGUGUAGCGGUGGAAUGCGCAGAUAUCAGGAAGAACACCAACGGCGAAGGCAGCUCGCUGGGACGGAACUGACGCUAAGGCGCGAAAGCGUGGGGAGCGAACAGG
rnacentral:rRNA from 1 species